rnacentral:rRNA from 1 species
GACGUAGGGCGCGAGCGUUGUCCGGAUUUAUUGGGCGUAAAGAGCUCGUAGGCGGCUUGUCGCGUCGAAUGUGAAAACUCGGGGCUCAACCCCGCGCUUGCAUUCGAUACGGGCAGGCUCGAGUUCGGUAGGGGAGACUGGAAUUCCUGGUGUAGCGGUGAAAUGCGCAGAUAUCAGGAGGAACACCGGUGGCGAAGGCGGGUCUCUGGGCCGAUACUGACGCUGAGGCACGAAAGCGUGGGGAGCAAACAGG